GGCGGCGUGCCUAAUACAUGCAAGUCGAACGCACAGCGAAAGGUGCUUGCAUCUUUCAAGUGAGUGGCGAACGGGUGAGUAACACGUGAUAACCUACUCAAGUUGGGGAUAACAUUUGGAAACAGAUGCUAAUACCGAAUAAAACUUCGUAUCGCAUGAUACAAGGUUAAAAGGCGCUACGGCGUCACCUAGAGAUGGAUCCGCGGUGCAUUAGUUAGUUGGUGGGGUAAAGGCCUACCAAGACAAUGAUGCAUAGCCGAGUUGAGAGACUGAUCGGCCACAUUGGGACUGAGACACGGCCCAAACUCCUACGGGAGGCUGCAGUAGGGAAUCUUCCACAAUGGGCGAAAGCCUGAUGGAGCAACGCCGCGUGUGUGAUGAAGGCUUUCGGGUCGUAAAGCACUGUUGUAUGGGAAGAACAGCUAGAGUAGGGAAUGACUUUAGUUUGACGGUACCAUACCAGAAAGGGACGGCUAAAUACGUG
rnacentral:rRNA from 1 species